rnacentral:rRNA from 1 species
GGAGGGAUCAUUACACAAAUAUGAAGGCGGGCUGGAACCUCUCGGGGUUACAGCCUUGCUGAAUUAUUCACCCUUGUCUUUUGCGUACUUCUUGUUUCCUUGGUGGGUUCGCCCACCACUAGGACAAACAUAAACCUUUUGUAAUUGCAAUCAGCGUCAGUAACAAAUUAAUAAUUACAACUUUCAACAACGGAUCUCUUGGUUCUGGCAUCGAUGAAGAACGCAGCGAAAUGCGAUAAGUAGUGUGAAUUGCAGAAUUCAGUGAAUCAUCGAAUCUUUGAACGCACAUUGCGCCCUUUGGUAUUCCAAAGGGCAUGCCUGUUCGAGCGUCAUUUGUACCCUCAAGCUUUGCUUGGUGUUGGGCGUCUUGUCUCUAGCUUUGCUGGAGACUCGCCUUAAAGUAAUUGGCAGCCGGCCUACUGGUUUCGGAGCGCAGCACAAGUCGCACUCUCUAUCAGCAAAGGUCUAGCAUCCAUUAAGCCUUUUUUCAACUUUUGACCUCGGAUCAGGUAGGGAUACCCGCUGAACUU